rnacentral:rRNA from 1 species
UGCAGGGGGCUCGAGCGUUAGUCGGAAUCACUGGGCUUAAAGGGUGCGUAGGCGGCUCGCCAAGUGCUUUGUGAAAUCCCACAGCUCAACUGUGGAACAGCAGGGCAAACUGGCGGGCUUGAGGCAGGUAGGGGCCGGAAGAACAGUUGGUGGAGCGGUGAAAUGCGUAGAUAUCAACUGGAAUGCCGAUGGGGAAGCCGUCCGGCUGGGCCUGUCCUGACGCUGAGGCACGAAAGCGUGGGGAGCAAACAGG